rnacentral:lncRNA from 1 species
CGUAAAUCUGUUAAUAAAAGAAACUAUACAGUCUGAAUUCCCCAAAAAUACCAGAUCCUCGAAAGGUACUAUUGUCCCUAUAAAGUGUAGGGGGAAAAAAUGAAAAAAAAUCUCCAAUUUUAACAAACUGGUCAUUAAUAUGAACUGUCCAAUACCUUAUUUAUAUAAAACAUAUGAAAUCAAUAUAAUGUUGUUAACCCC